rnacentral:pre_miRNA from 1 species
AGAGGAAUAAUUGGGUCAAAUGGUGGUUCCAUUCCCAGCUUUCCAAGGAAUCAUCGAUACUGCUUUCCAAAUUGGCUGCACCAUUUUGCAGUCCCACCAGCAAU